AGCAAGAUAGAGUUUGAUCCUGGCUCAGAUUGAACGCUGGCGGAAUGCUUUACACAUGCAAGUCGAGCGGCAGCGCGGGGGCAACCCUGGCGGCGAGCGGCGAACGGGUGAGUAACACAUCGGAACGUACCCUGUCGUGGGGGAUAACGAAUCGAAAGAUUCGCUAAUACCGCAUACGACCUGAGGGUGAAAGCGGGGGAUCGCAAGACCUCGCGCGAGAGGAGCGGCCGAUGUCGGAUUAGCUAGUUGGUGAGGUAAAGGCUCACCAAGGCGACGAUCCGUAGCGGGUCUGAGAGGACGGCCCGCCACACUGGGACUGAGACACGGCCCAGACUCCUACGGGAGGCAGCAGUGGGGAAUUUUGGACAAUGGGGGCAACCCUGAUCCAGCCAUUCCGCGUGAGUGAAGAAGGCCUUCGGGUUGUAAAGCUCUUUCGGCAGGAACGAAACGGUGGAGGCUAAUAUCCUUCAUCAAUGACGGUACCUGUAGAAGAAGCACCGGCUAACUACGUGCCAGCAGCCGCGGUAAUACGUAGGGUGCGAGCGUUAAUCGGAAUUACUGGGCGUAAAGCGUGCGCAGGCGGUUUUGUAAGACAGAUGUGAAAUCCCCGGGCUUAACCUGGGAACUGCGUUUGUGACUGCAAGACUUGAGUGCGGCAGAGGGGGGUGGAAUUCCACGUGUAGCAGUGAAAUGCGUAGAGAUGUGGAGGAACACCGAUGGCGAAGGCAGCCCCCUGGGUCGACACUGACGCUCAUGCACGAAAGCGUGGGUAGCAAACAGGAUUAGAUACCCUGGUAGUCC
rnacentral:rRNA from 1 species